CAACCCUCAAGCCUAGCUUGGUAUUGGGCCUCGCCACUAACCUGGCGGGCCUCAAAAUUAGUGGCGGUGCCGUCGUGGCCCUGAGCGUAGUAAAUAUCCUCGCUAUAGGGACCCGGCGGUUACUGGCCAGCAACCCCCAACUUUUCUAA
rnacentral:misc_RNA from 2 species